rnacentral:rRNA from 1 species
UACGUAGGGUGCGAGCGUUAAUCGGAAUUACUGGGCGUAAAGCGUGCGCAGGCGGUUCGUUGUGUCGGCGGUGAAAGCCCCGGGCUUAACCUGGGAAUAGCCGUUGAAACUGGCGAACUGGAGUGUGGCAGAGGGGGGUGGAAUUCCGCGUGUAGCAGUGAAAUGCGUAGAGAUGCGGAGGAACACCGAUGGCGAAGGCAGCCCCCUGGGCUAACACUGACGCUCAUGCACGAAAGCGUGGGGAGCAAACAGG